ensembl:snoRNA SNORA70 Small nucleolar RNA SNORA70
UUGCAUGGCGGAGGCUGCGCCACUUUCCUCCCUGUGGGGCCUGGUGUACAGUGGCUGUGAACAGCAACUUCCUGGGUAGUUUGUGCAGCCUGUUCCUUGUACAGGUUGCCUAAGGGACCCUGGAGACCGUC